AACUAACGCUGGCGGCGUGCCUAACACAUGCAAGUCGUACGAGAAAGCCGGCUUCGGCUGGUGAGUAAAGUGGCGCACGGGUGAGUAACGCGUGGAUAAUCUGCCCUUAAGUGUGGAAUAACGUACCGAAAGGUGCGCUAAUACCGCAUAAUGCCUGGCAACACAAGUUGUCCGGCCAAAGAAGGCCUCUGUUUACAAGCUUUCGCUUCAGGAUGAGUCCGCGUACCAUUAGCUUGUUGGUGGGGUAAUGGCCUACCAAGGCUGCGAUGGUUAGCUGGUCUGAGAGGAUGAUCAGCCACACUGGAACUGAGACACGGUCCAGACUCCUACGGGAGACAGCAGUGAGGAAUAUUGCGCAAUGGGGCAACCCUGACGCAGCAACGCCGCGUGAGUGAGGAAGGUUUUCGGACUGUAAAGCUCUGUCGAGCGGGAAGAAGUGUACCAUGGCUAAUAUCCAUGAUAUUUGACGGUACCGCUAG
rnacentral:rRNA from 1 species